rnacentral:ncRNA from 1 species
AGGUCGUUGCCGUAGUAAUCCUGCUUAGUAAGAGAGGAACCGCAGGUUCGGGCAUUUGGUACACGCACUCGGUCGACAGGCCGGUGGUGCGAUGCCACCUUCCGCGGGAUUAUGCCUGAACGCCUUUAAGGCCGAAUCCCGACUAUGGUUCAACGAUUUAACAAUGGGUCCCGUGAGUCGAAAGGCUCAAAACAAUGUGACUUUAAUAGACGGCCGGUUUAAACGGCUGUCGCCUGAGCCUAGUGGCUAAAAAUUCCAUUGUGUAAUUAAAUAUAUAGUAAAUUCUAUAUAUUUAAUUGUUUUUUUUAGCGUAACAUGGUUGAACCCUUCGGGGAGUUUGAUGUCGGGACCUAGAAUCGUCUGUAGACGACUUUUAGACUCAGAGGGGAAUUAUUGGCGUUGAACAAGGGCCCUUGGCUUAUGAAGGAUCCAGAGACUGAGAUUUGUCCUUUGUGCUCUCAGGGUCU